rnacentral:rRNA from 1 species
CGAAUGCUGACAUAAGUAACGAUAAAGCGGGUGAAAAGCCCGCUCGCCGGAAGACCAAGGGUUCCUGUCCAACGUUAAUCGGGGCAGGGUGAGUCGACCCCUAAGGCGAGGCCGAAAGGCGUAGUCGAUGGGAAACAGGUUAAUAUUCCUGUACUUGGUGUUACUGCGAAGGGGGGACGGAGAAGGCUAUGUUGGCCGGGCGACGGUUGUCCCGGUUUAAGCGUGUAGGCUGGUUUUCCAGGCAAAUCCGGAAAAUCAAGGCUGAGGCGUGAUGACGAGGCACUACGGUGCUGAAGCAACAAAUGCCCUGCUUCCAGGAAAAGCCUCUAAGCAUCAGGUAACAUCAAAUCGUACCCCAAACCGACACAGGUGGUCAGGUAGAGAAUACCAAGGCGCUUGAGAGAACUCGGGUGAAGGAACUAGGCAAAAUGGUGCCGUAACUUCGGGAGAAGGCACGCUGAUAUGUAGGUGAAGUCCCUCGCGGAUGGAGCUGAAAUCAGUCGAAGAUACCAGCUGGCUGCAACUGUUUAUUAAAAACACAGCACUGUGCAAACACGAAAGUGGACGUAUACGGUGUGACGCCUGCCCGGUGCCGGAAGGUUAAUUGAUGGGGUCAGCGCAAGCGAAGUUCUUGAUCGAAGCCCCGGUAAACGGCGGCCGUAACUAUAACGGUCCUAAGGUAGCGAAAUUCCUUGUCGGGUAAGUUCCGACCUGCACGAAUGGCGUAAUGAUGGCCAGGCUGUCUCCACCCGAGACUCAGUGAAAUUGAACUCGCUGUGAAGAUGCAGUGUACCCGCGGCAAGACGGAAAGACCCCGUGAACCUUUACUAUAGCUUGACACUGAACAUUGAGCCUUGAUGUGUAGGAUAGGUGGGAGGCUUUGAAGUGUGGACGCCAGUCUGCAUGGAGCCGACCUUGAAAUACCACCCUUUAAUGUUUGAUGUUCUAACGUGGACCCGUGAUCCGGGUUGCGGACAGUGUCUGGUGGGUAGUUUGACUGGGGCGGUCUCCUCCUAAAGAGUAACGGAGGAGCACGAAGGUUGGCUAAUCCUGGUCGGACAUCAGGAGGUUAGUGCAAUGGCAUAAGCCAGCUUGACUGCGAGCGUGACGGCGCGAGCAGGUGCGAAAGCAGGUCAUAGUGAUCCGGUGGUUCUGAAUGGAAGGGCCAUCGCUCAACGGAUAAAAGGUACUCCGGGGAUAACAGGCUGAUACCGCCCAAGAGUUCAUAUCGACGGCGGUGUUUGGCACCUCGAUGUCGGCUCAUCACAUCCUGGGGCUGAAGUAGGUCCCAAGGGUAUGGCUGUUCGCCAUUUAAAGUGGUACGCGAGCUGGGUUUAGAACGUCGUGAGACAGUUCGGUCCCUAUCUGCCGUGGGCGCUGGAGAACUGAGGGGGGCUGCUCCUAGUACGAGAGGACCGGAGUGGACGCAUCACUGGUGUUCGGGUUGUCAUGCCAAUGGCACUGCCCGGUAGCUAAAUGCGGAAGAGAUAAGUGCUGAAAGCAUCUAAGCACGAAACUUGCCCCGAGAUGAGUUCUCCCUGACCCUUUAAGGGUCCUGAAGGAACGUUGAAGACGACGACGUUGAUAGGCCGGGUGUGUAAGCGCAGCGAUGCGUUGAGCUAACCGGUACUAAUGAACCGUGAGGCUUAACCUU